AGCUGGAGCUGAAGCUGGAGCCAGAACCUCGCUCUUGGACACUUUAUGCGGCAGAUGUGCCUCGUAAAGAUUUCCUCACUGUGGAACGUGUGCAUAAAAAGCAUUUCAAGCAUUUU